rnacentral:rRNA from 1 species
UACGUAGGUGGCAAGCGUUGUCCGGAUUUACUGGGCGUAAAGGGCGUGCAGGCGGUCUGUUAAGUUCAGGGUGAAAGCUCCCGGCUCAACUGGGAGAGGUCCUUGGAUACUGGCAGACUUGAGGGAGGUAGAGGAGGGUGGAAUUCCCGGUGUAGUGGUGAUAUGCGUAGAUAUCGGGAGGAACACCAGUGGCGAAGGCGGCUCUCUGGGCCUUUCCUGACGCUGAGACGCGAAAGCGUGGGGAGCGAACCGG